AUUGAACGCUGGCGGCAUGCCUUACACAUGCAAGUCGAACGGUAGGGGGGCAACCCCUGAGAGUGGCGAACGGGUGAGUAAUGCAUCGGAACGUGCCCAGUUGUGGGGGAUAACGUAGCGAAAGCUACGCUAAUACCGCAUACGACCUGAGGGUGAAAGGGGGGGAUCGCAAGACCUCUCGCAAUUGGAACGGCCGAUGUCAGAUUAGCUAGUUGGUGGGGUAAAAGCCUACCAAGGCGACGAUCUGUAGCUGGUCUGAGAGGACGACCAGCCACACUGGGACUGAGACACGGGCCAGACUCCUACGGGAGGCAGCAGUGGGGGAUGUUGGACAAUGGACGCAAGUCUGAGCCAGCCAUGCCGCGUGCAGGAAGAAGGCCUUCGGGUUGUAAACUGCUUUUGUCAGGGAAGAAAUCCCUUGGGAUAAUACCUCGGGGGGAUGACGGUACCUGAAGAAUAAGCACCGGCUAACUACGUGCCAGCCGCCGCUGUAAAAC
rnacentral:rRNA from 1 species